ACGUGUUGAAAACACCGGUUUUCGUACGAUCGGUGAAGUUAAGCAUCGUUGAGCGUGGUCAGUACUUAUAUGGGUGAUCGCUUGGAAAUACCAGAUGCCGUAA